UUCAAGCUUUUUACUUACAUAAGCUAUUUCCAAAGUUUGAGAGACAUCUAAAUGUCGAUGAAUGCCUUAUCAUAAAACGGCUAUCUCUUGCUGCGAACACUGCAUCGUUCAAGAUUGUUCCUAACAAUUAGAAGCUAUCUUUUUACUAUCACACGUUUGUGGAAAAGUAUAGUAAAUGGGAAGGUCCGCAGUACAUUUUCAAUUUUGUUGAUUUCGAUGAUGUUGUUUCACAGAGAAUCAAGGAGGGUACGACAGUAGAUUUCAUUGGUUACGUUGUUGUUUGUUAUAAGAUUGAGGACACUAACUAAAAGGAUAUGGUAGUAAAGGGAAACGUCUCAAUCUUAAGCUUCAAGAUCUCGAAGAUGUUCAGAUCGAUUUAACUCUUUGGGAUGAUUACGCUAAGGACAUGUAUUCUUACAUGGUUAGUAAAAAUCGUGAAGCACAUGUUAUCGUUGCUGUCCAUUUUGGUGCUGUUAAGACAUACAAAGGUAAAUGGGGGAUUUCUAAUAAUUUUGAUGAUUCACGGCUUUUCAUUAA